UACGUAGGGGGCAAGCGUUGUCCGGAAUCAUUGGGCGUAAAGAGCGUGUAGGCGGCCCGGUAAGUCCGCUGUGAAAGUCGGGGGCUCAACCCUCGAAAGCCGGUGGAUACUGUCGGGCUAGAGUGCGGAAGAGGCGAGUGGAAUUCCUGGUGUAGCGGUGAGAUGCGCAGAUAUCAGGAGGAACACCGAUUGCGAAGGCAGCUCGCUGGGACGUAACUGACGCUGAGACGCGAAAGCGUGGGGAGCAAACAGG
rnacentral:rRNA from 1 species